UUACUUGAGAAGCUUCCUAGCUCUUAGGUAGUUGCUCGAGAAGCUUCAUAGUUCUUGGGAAGCUUCUUGAUGCGCUUCCUUAGAACCAUAGGCCAGUAGUAUAUAUAGGAGUCGUAGCUGAAGAGUUCUUCAGUCUCGACAACACAUCUCUUGAAGCUCUAGCUCAAUUCUCUUGGCGUUGCUCUUGUACUCAUCUGAUAAUCUAGUUCUUAUCAUUUCUUCU
rnacentral:lncRNA from 1 species